UACGGGGGGGGCAAGCGUUGUUCGGAAUUAUUGGGCGUAAAGAGCUCGUAGGCGGUUUGUCGCGUCGGCCGUGAAAUCUCCACGCUUAACGUGGAGCGUGCGGUCGAUACGGGCAGACUUGAGUUCGGUAGGGGAGACUGGAAUUCCUGGUGUAGCGGUGAAAUGCGCAGAUAUCAGGAGGAACACCGGUGGCGAAGGCGGGUCUCUGGGCCGAUACUGACGCUGAGGAGCGAAAGCGUGGGGAGCGAACAGG
rnacentral:rRNA from 1 species